rnacentral:ncRNA from 1 species
GAACUGUAGAGUUUGAUCCUGGCUCAGAUUGAACGCUGGCGGCAUGCCUUACACAUGCAAGUCGAACGGCAGCGCGUCCUUCGGGAUGGCGUUCGGGAUGGCGGCGAGUGGCGAACGGGUGAGUAAUACAUCGGAACGUGCCCGAGAGUGGGGGAUAACGCAGCGAAAGCUGUGCUAAUACCGCAUACGAUCUCAGGAUGAAAGCAGGGGACCGCAAGGCCUUGCGCUCACGGAGCGGCCGAUGGCAGAUUAGGUAGUUGGUGGGAUAAAAGCUUACCAAGCCGACGAUCUGUAGCUGGUCUGAGAGGACGACCAGCCACACUGGGAC